rnacentral:rRNA from 1 species
CGCCUGUUUAUCAAAAACAUUUUUUCUUAGAGAAAAAGAAAUAAGGUCUGCCCAGUGGUGAACUCAACGGCUGCGGUAUUUUGACCGUGCUAAGGUAGCAUAAUCAUUUGUUUUUUAAUUGAAAACUGGAAUGAAGGGCUAGUCUGAUUUUAUGUUUGUAAAUUGUCUAGGAAAUAAAAGUCAAGGUAAGAAUUCUUUGAUUUUUUAAGGGACGAUAAGACCCUAGAAGCUUAAUUAGAAGGUUGUUUUUAGUGAAAAACAAGUUUAGUAAUUUUACUGGGGCGGUAAAAGUAAUUUAGCUGUUAAUAAAAGAAGGAUCCUUUAUAUAAAGAAAAUAAGGAAAAGUUACUCUAGGGAUAACAGUACAAUAUUUUUGGAGAGACCUUAUCAAUAGAAAUGUUUGUAACCUCGAUGUUGAAUUAAAAUAUCUAAGUGAGGCAGAACUCACUAGAGGAGGGUUUGUUCAACCUUUAAAUUUUUACAUGAUCUGAGUUCAAACCGGAG